ACGACGAAAACGCGUCUACUGGAAAUUCUGUUCCAGUUAGUGAGGAAGAACAAGAUUUGAACGCCUUCGCUCUACGUAACGAGUUCACACAUCACAACCUACAAGCGGACUUGGUGGAGCAUAUUUGGAACAACGCUGGAAACGAACCCGCCCACCACAUGGAAGACGACGACUAGUAGCUUAUUUUAGUAUGUUAGGAUAUUUGUGCUGCUGGUGCUACGUAGAACCCAGAAAACUAAUCAUCACUGUUUUGUGACAUCUUUUACCCGAUUGAUAGAUGCCUCUUUACACUAACCCAUGAAGACGAUGAACUCAGAAUGUCUAGCCUCCGCCUCUGGCGCGGCGGAUAGGGUUUCGACAAGUCUGCGGAAGGUCCGACAAAAAUCCGGUAAGUUCAUUCCCACUUACAUGACCUUAUUUCGGGUAGAUUGGUUCAGCUACAACCUUGGUUGAGUGAUAAUUGUCAGUUUCGUGAACCAGGAGAACUACAAGGACCCGAUCUAGAGUUCAGGUUUCGUCGAACUAAUUAGUGGUUGCAUGUUUCUGUCCGGCAACAGGAGAGGCAAAAGGUUAUGAUUGACGACUACCGGCGGCGAUCGGCCAUCGCUGCUGUUAAUUCUCAUUUUCGUUACUAUUCAAGUGUUGCGGAGCUGAUGAAGAUGACCAAGUGGGUUUUGCUGAUGAAGAUGACAAGGUUUUGCUCUUCAAUUUGUUGUGAUGCUCAUUAUUAGGUGUAGUAUAUAUAUAUAUAUAUUUUUUUACAAACUUGAUCUUAUUAGUUUGUUUAGAAUUUGACUAUGUUGAUGUAGAUUAUUAAUUAU